CACUCUUCUCCCUGGGUUGAGGAGCCUGACCCCGAAGACUGGAUAAAUAACUGAUGCUGAUCUGUAAUCAUUCAGAGCAGAUUAUACUGAUACUUUUGUUUGUAUGCUUUUGUUGCUGUGAGUCCGUCUGCAGACGCUUGAAGUAAACCUACAGAAAGACAAGUGAUUGCCUUGAGUGUUUCUUUAUUCCGCAGAAAUUGCCACAAUUUGGCAUUGUCGGCGUUUUCACUCGUGUGAGAGGACUUGGGCGCUCGGAGCGGCAGGUUAAGACCGUGCACGGCUAAGAGUCUGGGACUCUUUACCUCAACCUCCGCGGUAAGGAAGGGUAGAGACGAGGGGGCCUGCUGCCCUGAGUGUCCGAGGCUCGCUCACCGCUGUGAAGCAGUGAACCUAGUGGCUGUGGCAGCACUCUAUUUCUGACUUACCCUGUGCCGGUGAUUGCAGCUCCCGUCUCCUUCUGGAUCACUACCUGCCUGUUUACCUGUCUCUCCUGCUACGCUAUCCUUGCCGGCUGGCUCUCUGACUUCUAGCCAAACCUCAUGAGCCAUAACCUCUCGGACCCAGCCUACUCCACUCCAUGGGUCAGCUGCCUGUCUGGGUCUACACAUCGCAGCCUGCUCCACGCCACGGAUCCACUUCCUGUCCAGGUCCACGCAUCACUCUACACGAGCCGGGCCAGUAUACGUUUCACCUGUCUCCACUCCUGGAUCUUCACUAUCCCCCCAGAGCCGGGCUUACUGUUUCCCCUGGGGCCGCUGAGGACAGCGCCGGACCUACCACUCUGGAGAAGAGCCAUUCCCAGUUAUUCCGUGUAGUUCAAAUAAAGAUUGACUUUGUCAUUUAAA